rnacentral:rRNA from 1 species
GACGAACGCUGGCGGCGUGCUUAACACAUGCCAGUCGAACGGAAAGGCCCUGCUUUUGUGGGGUGCUCGAGUGGCGAACGGGUGAGUAACACGUGAGUAACCUGCCCUGGACUUUGGGAUAACUUCAGGAAACUGGGGAUAAUACCCGAUAGGAGCUCCUGCUGCAUGGUGGGGGUUGGAAAGUUUCGGCGGUUGGGGAUGGACUCGCGGCUGAUCAGCUUGGUGGUGGGGUAUUGGCAUACCAAGGCUUUGACCGGUCGCCGGCCUGAGAGGGUGACCGGCGACAUUGGGACUGAGAUACGGCCCAGACGCGUACGGGAGGCAGCAGUGGGAAAUAUUGCACAAUGGGCGGAAGCCUGAUGCAGCAACGCCGCGUGCGGGAUGACGGCCUUCGGGUUGUAAACCGCUUUCGCCUGUGACGAAGCGUGAGUGACGGUAAUGGGUAAAGAAGCACCGGCUAACUACGUG